rnacentral:lncRNA from 1 species
UGGAUGACUAAUUGAGUGGACACGUGAAUCGCGCUGGGGAAGGGGUCUGGCCGGAGCAUGGAUUGGUGAGCGUGGGCACCAGGUGGUAGGGGGUGGUGGAUGAUGCACCAAAACAGAGCGGGUAACAAAGUGAGAAGGGUGCCAAGUCCGAAACCUGGAAUGGUGCCCCCUCUAGCCGGUCAGGAGACUUAAAGAGGAAAGAGACCUGGUGACGGACUGAGAAAGAGGAUUCCCAGAGCGGGGGACGGGGGUUAGGGGGCUAGGAGAGAGUGGGGUCUUGGAACUCACCGAAGCUGCCUUUGGAAAUGGGACCCAGACCGUUUGCAGAGCACUUCCAACCCAAGAGCUUACGUGGUCCUCCCAAUAGCAAGGUAAAUAGAAGUACCUACUGGAAACCAGGCUCAGCUAACCAGCAGGCCCCACUAUAAACUGCUAGUUGAUAGCAGUACUGAACCCAGAUUUUCUGACACCAUGGCCAGGACUCUCUUCACUACCCAGCUUUCUUUUGGUUAAAGAAAAAAAAAGUUCCUCCUACCCUUUAUGAUGUACAAAGUCAGCAGGUUCUCCCAACCUGCUGGUUCUCCCCAACCCCACCUUCAAACCUUUGCUUGUGUAUUGUCCUUUGAUCCUAGAUGGCCCACCUCUUUUCCUCUUUGCUGGUCUAAAUUCUACUCCUUCAAGCUCUUGCUUAAAUCCCUCUGUAAAGCCUCCCCUGAGGAUUCCAAUUCACUCUGACUUCUCUUUUUUUUUAGAUUCCUGUGGCAAAUACACCUUCCAGUGACAUCUCACACACACACACACACACACACACACACACACANNNNNNNNNNNNNNNNNNNNNNNNNNNNNNNNNNNNNNGGGGGGGGGGGGGGGGGGGGGGGGGCAGGACUUGUGGCUUGCUUUUAGGCAAUAGAACAUGACAAAGGUGAUGUGUGUCACUCCUAUGAUGACAGUUACAUUAUAUAACACUUCUUAGGAGACUGGGGUCAGAGAGUCUCCUGCUGGCUCUGAGGAAGAAAGCUGCCAUGUUGUGAUUUGCUUAUGGAGAAGACCCAUGGCAGGGAGCAGCAGGGGCCUCUGGGAGCUGAGACUCGCCCCUAGCUGACAGCAAGAAAACAGGACCCUCAGUCCGGUGUCUGGAAGAAAUUCUGCCAAUGCCUGCAUCAGCUUGGGAGAAGAUCCUGGGCUCCAGUAAGAAACAGAGCCACGCCAGCAUCUUGACUGCAGGCUUGUGAGACGCCACAGGGGACUUGGCUAAGUUGAACCCAGACUCCUCACCCACAAAAACUAUGAAA